rnacentral:lncRNA from 1 species
CAUAGUACCUUGUUUAUAUGGAUCCAUAUUUUGUUUCACUACCUAACUUAGUUCUUUGAUCUUUGUAUGAGGUGUUUUGAAUGUGAUGAAGUGUACAUAAAAGUUGUGUGAUCAAUAAGGGAUCAGUCACUCCUAAUAAGGAGAGCGAAUAUCCUAUGUGAUCUUAUAGGUCAGUGAUUCUGGAAGUCUUUGGCCAAAGCACGAUGAUAAUUAGAAAAAAAUUUUUAAUAUAUCAUCAACUGAAUCAUCACCUUC